rnacentral:rRNA from 1 species
GCUCAACCGGGGAGGGUCAUUGGAAACGGGGGAACUUGAGUGCAGAAGAGGAGAGUGGAAUUCCACGUGUAGCGGUGAAAUGCGUAGAGAUGUGGAGGAACACCAGUGGCGAAGGCGACUCUCUGGUCUGUAACUGACGCUGAGGCGCGAAAGCGUGGGGAGCGAACAGGAUUAGAUACCCUGGUAGUCCACGCCGUAAACGAUGAGUGCUAAGUGUUAGAGGGUUUCCGCCCUUUAGUGCUGCAGCAAACGCAUUAAGCACUCCGCCUGGGGAGUACGGUCGCAAGACUGAAACUCAAAGGAAUUGACGGGGGCCCGCACAAGCGGUGGAGCAUGUGGUUUAAUUCGAAGCAACGCGAAGAACCUUACCAGGUCUUGACAUCCUCUGACAACCCUAGAGAUAGGGCUUCCCCUUCGGGGGCAGAGUGACAGGUGGUGCAUGGUUGUCGUCAGCUCGUGUCGUGAGAUGUUGGGUUAAGUCCCGCAACGAGCGCAACCCUUGAUCUUAGUUGCCAGCAUUCAGUUGGGCACUCUAAGGUGACUGCCGGUGACAAACCGGAGGAAGGUGGGGAUGACGUCAAAUCAUCAUGCCCCUUAUGACCUGGGCUACACACGUGCUACAAUGGGCAGAACAAAAG